rnacentral:rRNA from 1 species
GACGAACCGUGCGAACGUUAUUCGGAAUCACUGGGCUUAAAGCGCGUGUAGGCGGGGCGGUGCGUCGGUCGUUGAAAUCCCCCGGCUCAACUGGGGAAGUGCCCUCGAUACUGCCAGCCUGGAGGGAGGUAGGGGCGUGCGGAACUUCCGGUGGAGCGGUGAAAUGCGUAGAUAUCGGAAGGAACACCGGUGGCGAAGGCGGCACGCUGGGCCUUUCCUGACGCUGAGGCGCGAAAGCCAGGGGAGCGAACGGG